GAGCCCGUGGCUUAGCCUGGCUAGAGCGCUCGACUGAUAAUCGAGUGGUCCCGAGUUCAAAUAUUGACGCUUGAGGCGGUAAUGCUUUGAACGUCAGUGAGAAAGUCUCGGCGGGCUCA
rnacentral:tRNA from 1 species